GAGCUCUGUUGGUUAGAGCGUGGUGCUGAUAAUGCCAAGGUUGCAGGUUCAAUCCCGUGUGGGACA